CGCCGCUGCCUGCGUCGCCGGAGCCGGAGAGAUCCCAAGGAAUGCUCGAGAUCGCCACCGUCGUCUCUUCUAAUGGCGAGAACUAUUGAUCAUUCCAUUACUGAUCUCAUGAUCUGUAGCGCAUCUAGGGUUUUGUGGAAUUUUCAUUGAGGGUUUUCGAGAUCUGAUACUGUGGUGAUGGAUCUGAGCAGGUACAGAAGCCGAUAACUAGUCCGGUACCCGUUGAAUGGUACCCCAGCCUUUCCGUUCUCAUGCUGUCCAUCGGCCUUGUCCUCACCGCCUCCUUCUUCAUGGUGGCGCUGAUGGACUUAGAGAUUUGAGUAUUAAUUCUCACGAAAAUAUAACAAAGGAAUUUAAAAAUAUCAAUGUAAAUGACAACAAUGCAAUAGCUUCGAGGAAGAUUGCGGAAGAGAUGAUGAUCCUCAUGAUGACGAUGGCGAUAAUGAUAAAGAUGGUGAUGAAGACGAUGACGAUGGUGAUGGAGAUGAUGAUGAUUGAAAUUUUUUACUUUUUUUAACAUGUUUAGUUUGCAUUGAAUCGAUAUCUUAAAUUCUUAUUGACUCAAUGUUUAAUUUUUAGAUUUUCAUAACACUUUAAUUUCUUAGAUUUUGACCUAUCAUUGAAUUUUUGUUUUCAAUUGAGUAAAUGUUCAAUAGCAAUGGAGUUGAUGUUGUA